rnacentral:rRNA from 1 species
CCCUUAGAUGUUCUGGGCCACACGCGCGCUACACUGUUCGACGCAGCGAGUCUUAACCUUGACCGAAAGGUUUGGGUAAUCUUCAGCAAAGUCGAACGUGAUGGGGAUCGAUCAUUGCAAUUAUUGAUCGUGAACGAGGAAUUCCUAGUAAGUGCAAGUCAUCAGCUUGCGCUGAUUACGUCCCUGCCCUUUGUACACACCGCCCGUCGCUACUACCGAUUGAAUGGUUUAGUGAGAUCUCUGGAUUGACGCUGGCUAGGGGGCGACCCUUGGCCAGACUGUUGAGAAACUGCUCAAACUUGAUCAUUUAGAGGAAGUAAAAGUCGUAACA